UGGCUCAGAUUGAACGCUGGCGGCAGGCUUAACACAUGCAAGUCGAGCGGAGAUGAGGUGCUUGCACCUUAUCUUAGCGGCGGACGGGUGAGUAAUGCUUAGGAAUCUGCCUAUUAGUGGGGGACAACAUUCCGAAAGGGAUGCUAAUACCGCAUACGUCCUACGGGAGAAAGCAGGGGAUCUUCGGACCUUGCGCUAAUAGAUGAGCCUAAGUCGGAUUAGCUAGUUGGUGGGGUAAAGGCCUACCAAGGCGACGAUCUGUAGCGGGUCUGAGAGGAUGAUCCGCCACACUGGGACUGAGACACGGCCCAGACUCCUACGGGAGGCAGCAGUGGGGAAUAUUGGACAAUGGGGGGAACCCUGAUCCAGCCAUGCCGCGUGUGUGAAGAAGGCCUUAUGGUUGUAAAGCACUUUAAGCGAGGAGGAGGCUACUGAGACUAAUACUCUUGGAUAGUGGACGUUACUCGCAGAAUAAGCACCGGCUAACUCUGUGCCAGCAGCCGCGGUAAUACAGAGGGUGCGAGCGUUAAUCGGAUUUACUGGGCGUAAAGCGUGCGUAGGCGGCUUUUUAAGUCGGAUGUGAAAUCCCCGAGCUUAACUUGGGAAUUGCAUUCGAUCCUGGGAAGCUAGAGUAUGGGAGAGGAUGGUAGAAUUCCAGGUGUAGCGGUGAAAUGCGUAGAGAUCUGGAGGAAUUCCGAUGGCGAAGGCAGCCAUCUGGCCUAAUACUGACGGUGAGGUCCGAAAGCAUGGGGAGCAAACAGGAUUAGAUACCCUGGU
rnacentral:rRNA from 1 species